AAAACCAGGAACCUGGAGGAGACCAUCAACAGGUUGGAGGUGGAGCUGCUCGGUCUUCUGUGUCAGACUGCAACACAAACCAUGAUGUCAACAGGAUCCAAU